UUCGGUUAAGUUAUGAAGGGCGCACGGUGGAUGCCUUGGCACUAGGAGCCGACGAAGGACGGGACUAACACCGAUAUGCUUUGGGGAGCUGUAAGUGAGCUUUGAUCCAGAGAUUUCCGAAUGGGGGAACCCAUUGUUCGUAAUGGAACAAUAUCCUUACUUGAAUACAUAGAGUAUGGAAGG
rnacentral:rRNA from 1 species